UNUGUCAUGGACGCAGUCUGAACAUCCAUGCCGCGUGCAGGAUGAAGGCGCUCUGCGUUGUAAACUGCUUUUGUACGGGAAGAAUAUAUCGUUUGCGAACGGUUUUGACGGUACCGUAAGAAUAAGGAUCGGCUAACUACGUGCCAGCAGCCGCGGUAAUACGUAGGAUCCAAGCGUUGUCCGGAUUUAUUGGGUUUAAAGGGUGCGCAGGCGGCCUGAUAAGUCAGUGGUGAAAGCCCGUUGCUUAACAACGGAACUGCCAUUGAUACUGUCGGGCUUGAGUACAGUUGAGGUUGGCGGAAUGUAUCAUGUAGCGGUGAAAUGCUUAGAUAUGAUACAGAACACCGAUUGCGAAGGCAGCUGACUAAGCUGUUACUGACGCUCAGGCACGAAAGCGUGGGGAUCAAACAGGAUUAGAUACCCUGGUAGUCCACGCCGUAAACGUUGAUAACUCGAUGUUGGCGAUAUACUGUCAGCGUCUUAGCGAAAGCGUUAAGUUAUCCACCUGGGGAGUACGCCGGCAACGGUGAAACUCAAAGGAAUUGACGGGGGCCCGCACAAGCGGUGGAGCAUGUGGUUUAAUUCGAUGAUACGCGAGGAACCUUACCUGGGCUUAAAUGGGAUUGGACAGUUGCAGAAAUGCGAUCUCCCUUCGGGGCUGAUUCAAGGUGCUGCAUGGCUGUCGUCAGCUCGUGCGUGAGGUGUUGGGUUAGUCCCGCAAGAGGG
rnacentral:rRNA from 1 species